AUCUAACAACUACUUUUCGAGUUAUAUCUAAUAAUGCGUUUUUCCUUGACGCUUUUUUCGUCGACCUACGUUGUAUUAUACCGCAUAACUUUCUACUGGAUGUACCGAUUUUGAUAAUUCUUUUUUUUUUAAUCGAAAGCUGAUGUUUAUCAUGUGGUCACAUAUAAAUUUUAUUGAGAUCUGAUAACUACUUUUUGAGUAAUCUUUGAUAACGCGUAGUUGCUUGACUAUUUUUUCGUCGAUCUACGUUGUAUUACUUGUCGAUGUAAUUGAAGU
rnacentral:misc_RNA from 1 species